CUGAACUCGAGUAGGGCCCAAGCCAGCCAGGAAGGAGGAGGCAGCCAGAGAGGCCUCCACUGUUCUCUGCAGCAGAAGACCCCCUGCUGCCAGGCAUUCUACAACAACCACCCCUGCUGGCUAGUAUAAGCCAUGUUGGACAAAAGUCAAGAGAACAGGUGGUAGUCCACACCAUUCCAAGCUUGUCUACAUCCUCAGGAGUCACAAACUGAAACCGAUCCAACCUAACAACAUAAGAGAUAUCAUCGCAAAAUAUAAGCUGUUUCCAGUAAAGUUGCUUUUUGCAAUUGGCUGAUGGUGAUUUGAAGAAGUUCUCUGAUGAGGAUCUUACUACCCAGGUAGGUUUGUGUGGAAGUAUGUAGCCACUGGGGUAUCCUGGUCCCAAGCCAGGUUUAGAUUUAAAGGUCAGAACCUGCACUUUUGAAAGCAGCCCAGAAAUGGACCGGGAGCUAGUACAGCUGUUUAAAAACCAGUGAAAUAUAUUAUAUGUGCCCAGUCGCAGUUAGUAACCUUGCUGCUGCAUUUGGUACUAAUGAAAGUUUCUGAGUUGUCUUCAAAACUAGUAGAGUCGUUGAAAGGCAAGCACAUUUUAAAUGGGGCAUGGAGCUUGGAAACCUCUUGGCAACUGAGUUAAAAUUAGUGUAAUAUAAUCUCUACCACUCAGAAGGAGAGAAAUUGUACAGUUCUGAUACCAGCUGCCUUUCUGGGGACAUCUUCAAAGAUAGACCCAUGUAGCGUGUGUUGCAGUAGUCUCAAUGGUAGGUUAUCCUGCAAGGAUAAUAGUAGCCAGGUCUGUCACUGAAAUCAUUCUGUGAUUUUUGCUGUUUAUAAUUUAAGAGUGUCACAUAUGGCUUUACUUUAAAGGGAAUUUAGCCACCCAUACCAAAUUCUGUUUCCUCUGUGCAUUGCCUAGGACUAUCAUGCAUGGUGAUAUAUUUUAGACAGAUUUCAAAGGCAGAUAUAAUAAUAACCUUUUUGGCAAGCAUGCAUUUUUUCCAGGCUUAUGACAGCUCAUCUGGCAGCAUUAGAGAUGUAUUAAAAUUGCCCUAUAAUUUAUGUUAUUUCUCAUGCUGCUCUCAAGCUACCACCUCUGUUGCUUUAUUCUGUUGAACUCUACCACUCCUUUUCAUUUCUGGAUGAAUGAAAUCUAAUGCAUCAUCUACACAGAAUGGACUACUUUAUUUCACCCAGAAUGAGCCCACUUUUAUCUUCAUUCAGUACCAUUUUCCAUUAGUAAAUCUGGCACUUCUUUAUCAUUUGCCAUAAAGAUGGGAAAUGAGCUGGAAUAUCACUAACUGGAGUCACAAAUUAGCACUUUGGUUUCCUACCUGAUAAGACAGGAAGUGGAUUCCUCAAUACAGAGUGGGCUUUAGUAGUUACAAAGGGCAAAAAAAUGAACUGAAAACUCUGAACACUGAAAGAAGUAGAUUUAUCAUUCAGAAAUGAGAUCUUUUCUUGACAACAGAUAUAAUUACAACUGGCAUAUCCGAGUCAGUUUUUGGCGACAUCAUUCUUGCUUGAGACUUAACGAUUUCUGACAAUAACACAGGUGAAUACAAUGUAUAAAACAAUAAUACAGGCUAAUUCCUGCCCUUUCAAUUUUAAGACUCUUUUCAGAGUCUUAAAAUGCCAAUGUUGAAUAUUUAAACAAAAUGUUCAUUUUUAAUCACCAGAGCCCUUUCAAAAAAAAAAUCAUUAAAAUUGAAUUGAAUCAGAAUAGGGGAUUCUUUAAUUACUUUCAAACUCAAAUGCACUAUGAGAUUUUUAUUGCAAGAAAAGAAUUAGUUGUGGUAUGUGGUCUUUAUGUGCACACAAAAAAGGGGUGGGGAAAUCACUUCCUACAUACAGACUAUUUUUCUUUGUGAAUAAUGAAAACCGCCCUUUGACAAUCACUGUACAAGUAGAGUUUUGUCAGCCUCAAGAAGGUGACUAUGUACUUUCAAAACGAGAGAGACGUUGCCAAAAUGCAGCAAAAUGUACAACAGAGGUGAUGACAUAGAGGUGAUGAGCAAGGUGGUAUGAUGAUAUUCCUAAUGCUCCCUCAACCUACCGAAGCAUGGUUCAGUAAUAGUUUAUGAUUUUUACACUUAGUAAUUUCUAUCCUCCUUUCCUCCAUUCAGCUUAAUUUUCUAAAUUAGAAGGGCUAGCAACAACAGCAUUGUAAAGAACUGUUCAUGAGUUUAUAUGUUGCUUGGUCGGGGGGGCAGUUAGUGUGUGUAAGCAUAGUAGCUGCUGCCAGGUACUUGGACUGACAGAAAGAGUUCUAGAGUGUGUGCUGUAGAGAAAUGCUUGACUAACAAGCAGAAGGUUGCCAGUUUGAAUCCCCACUGCUGCUAUAUCGGGCAGCUGUGAUAUAGGAAGAUGCUGAAAGGCAUCAUCUCAUACUGCACAGGAGGAGGCAAUGGUAAACCCCUCCUGUAUUCUACCAAAGACAACCACAGGGCUCUGUGGGCACCAGGAGUUGAA